AGGGAGUUACUCCAGUCUAUUGGUAGCGGUAGACCUCCUCGGAGAAGAACAGUAGGGGGCAGUGUAUGCUGCUAAAGGUUGAAUGCGAUCCGCCAACCCAAUCUCAAAGAAGAAGAACGUAAUUCGCUAACGCCGUAUUUUCGAAAUGGCAUAUCUCGAGUUCAAGUUUGAGGACGAAAUUACUAAAUAUAUUCGGGAACAAGAAUUGGCAACGUCACUGAAAUUCGUAAUAUUGGGAAAGGACAAAAGUUUUGGACAAAAGGAUGCACAGCCUUUGGCACGGAAAAAACUCAGCUGGGAGAGUAAAAGUAUCCCGUUCAAUGGUGUUCCGUUUCAAGUUGUUGGCACAAAGACGUAUGAAUGCCACCAGGGCAAAGACAGACAGACAAAAGCCAAAGAGAAAUAUGCUGCUGAAAGAGACAAGAAGGAACUUGAAGACCAUGCCUUUGUAAAGAGACGGAAACUGGUACAAAAUACCAAAAAGGUGGACUGCAAGGCUAUAAUAAACAUCGCCCACGUUAUUCGCUUUCCUGAUUUUAAGAUUGAGGAAGGUACAGUGCGCUCUAAAAAGGAGGCCUCCCAAACUCUGAAGGCAGCACUAAGUGAAACACCCAGCUCCGUGAAGGCAGAGGUUGUCUACUGCGUCAGGUUCCCCUCCCUCUCUGAGCACAGCUCACAUGCAGUUGUUGGCGAGGCAGCUCAUGUUAGGGAAGCUGUAGAUGCCAGGCUGAGAGAGAAGAUUGAGCAGCUGACUCUGUCUGGUGUGAGAAAGAUGACUGAAAUGAAGUGUCAUCUGAACACCUUUGUAGUGGAAGAGCUUUUCCAUGGAGAGCAGCCCCCUCCACCUACUCGCAGGCGCUAUUACCCCACUGACAGUGACAUAAGAAAUGUCAUGUUUAAGACCAAGCGGGCCACCGGAGACUCCAACAUUGACCGUCCAUACGAAGGUCCAUCUGGAAGAGGAAAGAAGAGGUCCUCUAGGAAGCUGUUGCGGUUACGGAGGCAAUGUGCAGGAUAUCUUAAAGAGAUCACAGAACUCACUUAUCAUCUCCAAGAGGAACAGUACGUGACUGACCUGUCUUCACAGCUCAGAAGUGUGCUGCUGGAUAUGAAGGCCCAUGUUCCACAGGAUAAAGACCUUCCACUGACCUUUUCUCCAAGGAAGAGAAAAGCUGAGAUGGACAUGGACCUCAUUCCAACCAAGAGUGCAUCACACCCUUUCAUAGAUGGGUUAGAACAGCAUACAGAGGACAUAGUGAGUGUGGAUACCUUGUUGGCAUUGAGCCUAGGUUAGUAGGGCUGAGUGGAUACCUUGUUGGCAUUGAGCCUAGGGUAGUAGGGCUGAGUGGAUACCUUGUUGGCAUUGAGCCUAGGGUAGUAGGGCUGAGUGGAUACCUUGUUGGCAUUGAGCCUAGGUUAGUAGGGCUGUGUGGAUACCUUGUUGGUAUUGAGCCUAGGUUAGUAGGGCUGAGUGGAUACCUUGUUGGUAUUUAGCCUAGGUUAGUAGGGCUGAGUGGAUAUGUUGGUAUUUAGCCUAGGGCUGAUGACUGUGUGGAUACCUUGUUGGCAUUGAGCCUAGGGUCAUAGGGCUGCGUGGAUACCUUGUUUACAUUGAGCCUAUGGUAGUAGGGCUGCGUGGAUACCUUGUUGGCAUUGAGCCUAGGUUAGUAGGGCUGCGUGGAUACCUUGUUGGUAUUUAGCCUAGGGCUGAUGACUGUGUGGGUUCUGCCUCCAAUUGAGUAUAUUUUGGGUAGUGUAACUUUUAUUUCAACUAAUGUUACUGUAACGGAUGUGAAAUGGCUAGCUAGAUUAAAGUUAUACUGUUACAUUAACAACUUCAUUAAAACAUGUUUUCUCAUCUGUACAACAAAUACAUGACUAUAGUACGUCAUUUAGGAGGCAUAUAUAAACACACGGUUCCACUCAUCUGCAGCUACUCUGCACUUUAUUGUAUUCUGGUCUGUCCUGAUGCCUAGUCACUUUACCCUGCACAUUUAUCUCUUUGAUCUGGUACUUCCUGUAUAUAGCUGCACAUUGAUCUGGUACUGGUAAUCCCUGUAUAUAGCUGCGCAUUGAUCUGGUACUGGUAAUCCCUGUAUAUAGCUGCACAUUGAUCUGGUACUGGUAAUCCCUGUAUAUAGUUGCACAUUGAUCUGGUACUGGUAAUCCCUGUAUAUGGUGUUAUUAUUGUGUAUUCUAUUCCUCUUGUUACAAUCCCCAUGUUUUUUUAAAAACUUUGAAUCGUUGUGAAGGGCUGUAAGCAAGAAUUUCACGGUUAAGUCUACACACCUGUUAUAUUCGGCGCAUGUGACAAAUAAAAUUUGUUUUUGAAGUGCCCAAAUAAAGUAACAGGGUUGACCUUAAAAGUGUUGACGUUUAAUCUUAAAUCAGACCAUUUCUAAAUAUGCAUUAAUGACAGUUUCUUUGAAGCUGUGUAUGUUUUACUUGUGGAUUUUUUUUAAACAAAAAUUUAAAAUCAAGAUGUAUCAAUUUGUUUUUAUUUUUAUAAUGGCAUGUACAUAUUGGAGUAAACCUAUUUUGGGUUAAAACAACUAACACUCGAGUAAGGGCCAACAUGAUUAGCUUGCAACCUGAUUGAGUGGUUGAUCUGGUUGAGUGCAUUGUUUUACAACUAAGUAUUCCCUUUCCUUGAAUAAGCAACCUGGUCUCAGAGCAUUUGGUAUUAUUCUGUACGUAAAUCCAAG
ensembl:lncRNA